UUUUGGACAAUGGGGGAAACCCUGAUCCAGCCAUUCCGCGUGUGCGAUGAAGGCCUUCGGGUUGUAAAGCACUUUUGGCAGGCAAGACAUCGCACAAAUUAAUACUUUGUGUGGAUGACGGUACCUGCAGAAUAAGCACCGGCUAACUACGUGCCAGCAGCCGCGGUAAUACGUAGGGUGCAAGCGUUAAUCGGAAUUACUGGGCGUAAAGCGUGCGCAGGCGGUUCGGAAAGAGUGGUGUGAAAUCCCAGGGCUUAACCUUGGAACUGCCCUUUUAACUCCCGAGCUAGAGUAUGUCAGAGGGGGGUGGAAUUCCGCGUGUAGCAGUGAAAUGCGUAGAUAUGCGGAGGAACACCGAUGGCGAAGGCAGCCCCCUGGGAAGAUACUGACGCUCAUGCACGAGG
rnacentral:rRNA from 1 species